rnacentral:rRNA from 1 species
CGGGUAACGGAGAAUCAGGGUUCGAUUCCGGAGAGGGAGCCUGAGAAACGGCUACCACAUCCAAGGAAGGCAGCAGGCGCGCAAAUUACCCACUCCCGGCACGGGGAGGUAGUGACGAAAAAUAACAAUGCUGGGCUUCAAGUCCGGUAAUUGGAAUGAGUACACUUUAAAUCCUUUAACGAGGAUCUAGUGGAGGGCAAGUCUGGUGCCAGCAGCCGCGGUAAUUCCAGCUCCACGAGCAUGUACGUAAGUUGUUGCAGUUAAAAAGCUCGUAGUUGGAUCUCAGGCCGUGGCCGGUGGUCCGCCCGAUACGGGUGUGCACUGCCGAGCCCGGUCUACGUCUGGUCUAACGUCCGUAGUGCCCUUAACCGGGUGCUACGGAAUGCCAGAAGGUUUACUCUGAAAAAAUUAGAGUGCUUAAAGCAAGCCGUUGUGCUUGAAUACUGUCGCAUGGAAUAAUGGAAUAGGACCUCGGAUCUAUUUUGUUGGUUUUCGGAGUCGAGGUAAUGAUUAAGAGGGACAGACGGGGGCAUUUGUAUUGCGCCGUUAGAGGUGAAAUUCUUGGAUCGGCGCAAGACAAACAACUGUGAAAGCAUUUGCCAAGGAUGUUUUCAUUAACCAAGAACGAAAGUCAGAGGUUCGAAGACGAUCAGAUACCGUCGUAGUUCUGACCAUAAACGAUGCCAACUGGCGAUCCGCCGUAGUCUGGCUUAAAGGACUCGGCGGGCAGCCUCCGGGAAACCUAAGUCUAUGGGUUCCGGGGGAAGUAUGGUUGCAAAGCUGAAACUUAAAGGAAUUGACGGAAGGGCACCAUCAGGAGUGGAGCCUGCGGCUUAAUUUGACCCAACACGGGAAAACUCACCCGGCCAGGACACCGUAAGGAUUGACAGACUGAGAGCUCUUUCUUGAUUCGGUGGGUGGUGGUGCAUGGCCGUUCUUAGUUGGUGGAGUGAUUUGUCUGGUUAAUUCCGAUAACGAACGAGACUCUAGCCUGCUAACUAGACGGGCGAUCCACUUGUGGGUCGACCCGAUUUGCUUCUUAGAGGGACAAGUGGCGUUCCUAGCCACGCGAAAUUGAGCAAUAACAGGUCUGUGUUGCCCUUAGAUGUCCGGGGCCGCACGCGCGCUACAAUGAGGGACGCAGUGUGCCCGCAAAGCCUGACCCGAAAGGGUUGGGUAAUCAUUUCAAUUUCCCUCGUAAUAGGGAUUGAGCAUUGUAACUAUUGCUCAUGAACGAGGAAUUCCUAGUAAUCGCGAGUCAUAGGCUUGCGUUGACUACGUCCCUGCCCUUUGUACACACCGCCCGUCGCUACUACCGAUUGAAUGGUUUAGCGAGAUCCUCGGAUUGGGCCUAGUCCGUGCGCAAGCAUGCUCGAGGUCUAAGAAGAAGCUCAAGCUUGAUCAUUUAGAGGAAGUAAAAGUCGUAACAAGGUU